CUUGAAGUCAAAUAAUUAUGGACUGAAACCUCCAUAAACUAAAAGUUGAAAAAUGGAUGAAAUUAUGAUAAUUUGACUUAUCAGUGACAUCUAAAUACUGAGCUCCUGAGGAAGGAAAUAUGAAUGAAAAUAAAACUCAGGACUCAAAGCAAGAUAAAGAAGGUUGCCUUGGAUACUGAACAUGGAACUACAGAACUUCACGUUUACCUUGCUGUAUUUUGAACUUGCUCAGGUCCCAUUCCUUUGUAUUCCUAUAUUUGUGUUUUUGGAAUGGUAACAUCUAUCUUA